CGAUGGCGGGCUGCGCGCUUGCGGCUCUGCUUCCUGCCGUCCUGCGGCCGCGGGGUCGCACCCACGUCUGUCAGCGCGGGGAGAGAGGUUGGAUCUGUAAGAUGAAGCCAAAUGACAACCCAGGCCCGAGAAGAACGUUGCUUAAGGCUGACAAGCAAUUGCCAAAGCCAACCUCUGGGAGCUCUCCAAGAAAGGAUCAAAACCUUGCUGUGAGACUGCAUCCACUGCUGCCAGAAUCUGCAGAAGAUAACGUGUCAGAACUGGUGGGAUGGCCUCAAGUGCUGCAGCUUAAAGCUGAGUUAUCUGUACAGCUCACUGCGUAGCAGAAUAGAAAAUGAAAUGGACACAGAAUCACAAACAUAAACUUUUUCAAGUGAAAGAAUCAGACAUACAGAUGGCUAAGUGGCCAGGAUGUCACACCAAGAAUGGAGGUCUCCUUACCUCUAGUCUGUUCCAGAAGCCAUUAUAUAUCAAACUAAAAAAAAUCUCAUUAAACAGAAACUCUCCGGAUGAAUAAAAAUGCCAUGUGAAAAACAAAAUGUUACAAUAAUUCAUCUUACAU
rnacentral:lncRNA from 1 species